GAUGAAGAACGUAGCGAAAUGCGAUACGUAAUGUGAAUUGCAAAUUCAGUGAAUCAUCUAGUCUUUGAACGCACAUUGUGCCCCCUGGUAUUCCGGGGGGCAUGCCUGUCCGAGCGUCAUUGCUGCCCUCAAGCACGGCUUGUGUGUUGGGCCCCGUCCUCCGAUCCCGGGGGACGGGCCCGAAAGGCAGCGGCGGCACCGCGUCCGGUCCUCGAGCGUAUGGGGCUUUGUCACCCGCUCUGUAGGCCCGGCCGGCGCUUGCCGAUCAACCCAAAUUUUUUAUCCAGGUUGACCUCGGAUCAGGUAGGGAUACCCGCUGAACUUAAGCAUAUCAAUAAGCGGAGGA
rnacentral:misc_RNA from 1 species